ACAUGUUCCUCUGGGUCACUGGCAGUUAUAUACACAAUAUAUGUUGCUAUGGGUCACUGGCAGGUAUAUACAGGAUACAUGUUCCUCUGAGUCACUGACAGGUAUAUACAUGUUCCUCUGGGUCACUGACAGGUAUAUACAUGUUCCUCUGGGUCACUGGUAGGUAUAUACAGGAUACAUGUUCAUCCGGGUCACUGGCAGGUAUAUACAGGAUACAUGUUCCUCUGAGUCACUGGCAGGUAUACACAUGUACCUCUGGGUCACUGGCAGGUAUAUACAGGAUACAUGUUCCUCCCGGUCACUGGCAGGUAUAUACAUGUUCCUCUGGGUCACUGGCAGGUAUAUACAUGUUCCUCUGGGUCACUGGUAGGUAUAUACAUGUUCCUCUGGGUCACUGGCAGGUAUAUACAUGUUCCUCUGGGUCACUGGCAGGUAUAUACAUGUUCCUCUGGGUCACUGGCAGGUAUAUACAUGUUCCUCUGGGUCACUGGCAGGUAUAUACAUGUUCCUCUGGGUCACUGGCAGGUAUAUACAUGUUCCUCUGGGUCACUGGUAGGUAUAUACAUGUUCCUCUGGG